rnacentral:rRNA from 1 species
CGGCGGACGGUGAGUAACGCGUGGUAACCUACCUGUACACACGGAUAACAUACCGAAGGUAUGCUAAUACGGGAUAAUAUAUUUGAGAGGCAUCUCUUGAAUAUCAAAGGUGAGCCAGUACAGGAUGGACCCGCGUCUGAUUAGCUAGUUGGUAAGGUAACGGCUUACCAAGGCGACGAUCAGUAGCCGACCUGAGAGGGUGAUCGGCCACAUUGGAACUGAGACACGGUCCAA